rnacentral:rRNA from 1 species
AUUGAACGCUGGCGGCAUGCCUUACACAUGCAAGUCGAACGGCAGCACGGGUGCUUGCACCUGGUGGCGAGUGGCGAACGGGUGAGUAAUACAUCGGAACAUGUCCAGUAAUGGGGGAUAGCCCGGCGAAAGCCGGAUUAAUACCGCAUACGCUCUACGGAGGAAAGCGGGGGAUCGAAACACCUCGCGUUAUUGGGGUGGCCGAUGGCGGAUUAGCUAGUUGGUGGGGUAAAGGGUCACCAAGGCGACGAUCCGUAGCUGGUCUGAGAGGACGACCAGCCACACUGGGACUGAGACACGGCCCAGACUCCUACGGGAGGCAGCAGUGGGGAAUUUUGGACAAUGGGCGAAAGCCUGAUCCAGCAAUGCCGCGUGUGUGAAGAAGGCCUUCGGGUUGUAAAGCACUUUUGUCCGGAAAGAAAUCCUUGAUCCUAAUAUGGUCGGGGGAUGACGGUACCGGAAGAAUAAGCACCGGCUAACUACGUGCCAGCAGCCGCCGCUGUAA